CUGAACUAGCAAGGAUUGUUCAAGGAAGUUCAAAACAGACUGUCUCUGGUUAAAUUAGUUCUACACCAAGCCUUUAGGUGGCAGUACAACUAAUUCGCACAAUGCGAAUUCCACACACAAGCCACAAAGAAGCCAUCUACCGCGGUCAACAACACCGACCUAUCUGAACAGCACCACGCGCUGUCUGUGUGGUUUCACUGUUACAAGUUUCUUGGCGAUAUGGGGGAAAGUUCCUCACAUACCAACGGAAAAUGGGCUUCACAUACAUGCUGCUGUCUCAUAAUAUGGCGAAGACGAGUCACUUGAAGGCCUAACAGCUCUUAUGAGGAGCAGUCUUGCCAUAGAAGACUGAAAGAAUGAGCUGUAGAAACAACAGGGUGCCUGCUGCAGUAUGACGAGGACGCCCUGAUCAUAGAAGGUCCAGUGUCUUGGCAGGGUGAAAUGGCACUGAUAUCGGUAUGUGGUGAUAUCAGUUAAAAUUAAUGAAUUAAUUCUCAUAUCUGAAUAAUGUGAACACUGGAUUUACCACACACUCACACACACCCUAGUCCUAGAUGAUACAACCAAGGUUACUUUUACCACAGCUCUGGCACUGCAUCAAAUUUCUUUUCUUUUUUAUAGAACUGGACAGGUCAUUUAUUCGUUCCCCUUG